CGAGUGCUUGCACUCAAUUGGAAAGAGGAGUGGCGGACGGGGGAGUAACACGUGGGUAACCUACCCAUCAGAGGGGGAUAACACUUGGAAACAGGUGCUAAUACCGCAUAACAGUUUAUGCCGCAUGGCAUAAGAGUGAAAGGCGCUUUCGGGUGUCGCUGAUGGAUGGACCCGCGGUGCAUUAGCUAGUUGGUGAGGUAACGGCUCACCAAGGCCACGAUGCAUAGCCGACCUGAGAGGGUGAUCGGCCACACUGGGACUGAGACACGGCCCAGACUCCUACGGGAGGCAGCAGUAGGGAAUCUUCGGCAAUGGACGAAAGUCUGACCGAGCAACGCCGCGUGAGUGAAGAAGGUUUUCGGAUCGUAAAACUCUGUUGUUAGAGAAGAACAAGGACGUUAGUAACUGAACGUCCCCUGACGGUAUCUAACCAGAAAGCCACGGCUAACUACGUGCCAGCAGCCGCGGUAAUACGUAGGUGGCAAGCGUUGUCCGGAUUUAUUGGGCGUAAAGCGAGCGCAGGCGGUUUCUUAAGUCUGAUGUGAAAGCCCCCGGCUCAACCGGGGAGGGUCAUUGGAAACUGGGAGACUUGAGUGCAGAAGAGAAAGUGGAAUUCCUGGUAAC
rnacentral:rRNA from 1 species